rnacentral:rRNA from 1 species
GCAUAUCAAUAAGCGGAGGAAAAGAAAAUAACAAUGAUUUCCCUAGUAACGGCGAGUGAAGAGGAAAGAGCUCAAAGUUGGAACCUGUUUGGCUUAGCUAAACCGGAUUGUAAACUGUAGAAGUGUUUUCCAGACACGCCUGGUAAAAAAGUCCUUUGGAACAGGGCAUCAUAGAGGGUGAGAAUCCCGUCAUUGGCCAGAGCUGUUGUCUUUUGUGAUACAUUUUCAAAGAGUCAGGUUGUUUGGGAAUGCAGCCUAAAUUGGGUGGUAAAUCUCACCUAAAGCUAAAUAUUUGCGAGAGACCGAUAGCGAACAAGUACCGUGAGGGAAAGAUGAAAAGAACUUUGAAAAGAGAGUUAAACAGUAUGUGAAAUUGUUAAAAGGGAACCGUUUGGAGCCAGACUGGCUUAACNGUAAUCAAUCUAGGCUUUGGCCGGGAUGCACUUGCGGUUUAUGCCGGCCAACGACAGUUUUGUUUGAGGGAAAAAAUUACAUUGAAUGUGGCCCUUCGGGGUGUUAUAGCUUUGUAAAAAAUACCUUGGACUGGACUGAGGAACGCAGUGAAUGCCUUUAGGCAAGAUUGCUGGGUGCUUUCGCUAAUAAAUGCUAGAAUUUCUGCUUCGGGUGGUGCUAGUGUUUAAAGGAGGAACUCGCUUAGUAUAUUUUAU